CCUACGGGAGGCAGCAGUGGGGGAUAUUGCACAAUGGGGGGAACCCUGAUGCAGCGAUGCCGCGUGGGUGAAGAAGCGCUUCGGCGCGUAAAGUUCUGUCAGCAGGGAAGAAAAUGACGGUAUCUGAAGAAGAAGCCACGGCCAUCUACGUGCCAGCAGCCGCGGUAAGACGGAGGGGGCACGCGUUAUCCGGAUCUACUGGGGGUAAGGGGGGCGCAGACGGCGAUGCAAGCCAGGAGUGAAAGCCCGGGGCCCAACCCCGGGACUGCUCUUGGUACUGCGUUGCUGGAGUGCAGGAGGGGCAGGCGGAAUUCCUGGUGUAGCGGUGAAAUGCGUAGAUAUCAGGAGGAACACCGAUGGCGAAGGCAGCCUGCUGGGCUGCAACUGACGUUGAUGCCCGAAAGCGUGGGGAGCAAACAGGAUUAGAUACCCGUGUAGUC
rnacentral:rRNA from 1 species